AAUUGCAUUUAAUAUAAAAUAAUUUGCUUAUAUUUGUUAGUCAUAAUUUAUAACUGCUUCAUAUGUAAAUUUUAUCAUUUCCUAACUAUAAAAUGGCCUUUUUUAAUAUUAAUUAUCGCUAUUGAUAACCAAUUAUUCUCGUUUUGAUCCCUGUAAGACAGUCAGCAAGAUCUGAUUGAUCGCCAUCAUUCAUUUAUUCACCAACUAUCAGAUAUCCAAUCGAUAGAGAUGUCUGCGGAAAUAUUUAAAUGAUCGUUUGCUCUAAUGUUCGGAAUUUUUGCACUGGCCAAAGGAGAGCUCGCGAGAUGAAGAAAUAAAGACGGUUCUUCCAUCAGUUGGCGGACGGACGAGUCCAAGCUGACACGCACGCGAGCGUAAAGGGGAAAAAAAGGAAAGCAAAACUAGAAGAGACAAUGGGGAAUGCUCAUUUUCGCUUUACAACUUGAUCCGAAAGCGAAGCCAAAAAUGCAGAAAAACAAGAAAGAGAUGACAAAAGGAAGGAACGAAUCAGAGAUGGAGCCGCUCCCUUCUGAGAUGACAUCCCCUCGCGACCUUAGAACUGAGGCUGACCUUGACCGUGUCAAUCCCCACUAGCGCGAUUCAUGCGUCCCGGCUGCUUCAUAGCUCUCCGCGCAACGCUGUUUCACCAUCCUCCCGUUCUCUCUCUCUCUCUCACGCGCGCGCGCGCGCGCGCCACACUCACUCACUCUCCCUUUCUCCCUCCUAAGCCCAGCAACGCAGUCGCGUCAUAUUAUGCGAGUGCCGUGUUGCUCGGCGUUGCGCUGCUGCUGCUGCUGCUGCUGCGGGCAUUCUCGCUGCAUCGACCGGUUGUAAGCGAGCACCCGGUUCCAUCCCUCACGAAAGAGAAAAAGAGAGAGAGAGAGAAAGAGAGACACUCUGCUUCCGCUCUUCUGCCCUUUCCCUCUCGCUUUCGACAUUCUCGUUUUGCGACGCUCGCUCGUCAGCCAGCGAUGGGCACUACCCAAUUAUCGACUUGGAAAUCACAAUCACAUACGGACAGAAACGUUCGCUGGUCGAUGUACAUCGUGUAUGUUUCAGAAAAGAAAAAUACGCUUCAUAGGAAAUAGUUUCAAAGCCGAAGAUCGAUGCAAUUGAGAAUUAACGACGUUUACUGGAUUAUCUAAACGGCCUUGGUGUUUGCGAACGUGUCGACAGGGAGAGCCACUAAGCGGACAAUCAGUUUUUACGCAGCAUCGUUGCGCAGAUCAUGUCAUUUGUGUGGGAUCAUGCUUUUACGAGCGUCCGAAUGAAAAUCGUAUCAUGCCCUGAUAUAAAGACAUAUAUUGGCGUAGUAGAUUAUGUAAAAUUAGGGACGUCAUAAUCUUGCGCAAUGCGGAAUAAAAGAAAUUGCGAAAAAAAUACUUAUUAUAAAUUUAUUUGUAAACUUAUUAUAAUUGCUUAAGUAACUUUUUUAAUGAUUAACACUUUAAUUAUCAAUACUUUGUUUUGAGAUAAAUUAGUAUGUAAAUGAUAAAAUACUGUCAAGGAUUAUUGACGUCUAACCUUUUCUAAAAAAUACUACGUUUUAAGUAAUAUAAAAUAUACAAUUUCAAAAAUGUUUUAUAGAAAUCUAUCCAAAAUAUAUUUUCCUAGCGAGAAACGAUAAAUUCGACAUCAAUUCGACGUCGAAUCGACAUCGAAAUGAUUUCGAUAUCGAAUCGAUAUCAAUUCGAUGUACUAUUUCUCACUGGGUUGUAUAAUUAUUGUUAGUAAUAUAUACAUACAUUUAUUUAUUUUUAUUUAUACAUAUAUCCUUGUAACCAUACAUUAUAGUGUAUAAGUAUACUUAUCAAUAGUAACAUAUAUUUUAUAAUUUUGAAAUACAGUAAAAUACAUGUGUUAAGGACAUGAAA